ensembl:lncRNA
AACUAUAAUAAUAAUAAUAAUAUAACGAUAAAAUAAUUAUGAAAAUAAAUAUUUUAAUAAGACUAAAACUUUUUUUCUUAAAAAUCACGCGAUGUGUAAAACAAAUAAAGUUCAUACAAAUAAAGAAAUAAAGAUUUUCUUACUUCGUGACGGCGCUGGACCGGAAUCACGGCGUGCGCGCGCGUGCGUGUGCGUGUGUAUGUGUGUGUGUGUGUGCGCUAUCCUCCGCUCACGCACACACGUUCUCUCUUUCUCUCUUUCUCUAUGUCUCUCUCUCUCUCUCUCUCUCUCUCUCUCUCUCUCUCUCGCUCUCUGUACCUGUAUCAUGAGGACUGCAGGUGUGGGAACCUUCUCUCUCUGAGCUCCCACACGGAUAGUCCCUGUGUGUGUGUGUGUGUGUGUGUGUGUGUGUGUGUGUGUGUGUGUGUGUGAGAGAGAGAGAGAGAGAGAGAGAGAGAGAGAGAGAGAGAGAGAGAGAUGAGAUCCUGUCUGAAGUUAAGUUACAGGUUUAGAAGAAGAAUUAUUUUGAUGAUGGUGAUGAAGAUGAUGACGACACCUCGUGCAGGUGUGUGAAUGUGUGCAGUCUAAUUCUGAUUAAUUAACUUAUCAGCAUGACCAAUCUUUAAAACAUUCUUCACUAGAACGCAUGUAAAUGAUCUGUUUCACCCUGACUCAUGUGAGUGAAGGAGCUGGGACGUGUGUGUGUGUGUGUGGGUGUUGUGUGUUUCAUGGUGAAUAUUGAUGACUCGAGCUCAUUAACAUGUCAGCCCAGGCCAUCUUCAAAGGGUUAAUAAAAAUAAUCCAGCAUUCCAUGACCCUUUGUGACCUAGCACUUCUCUCCAUCUUUUUAAUAAAUCCAUGCAGCUGUGCGACGUUUAAAUGGGUCCCCCUCUCUCGCCUUUCCCUGCCUCUGUGACCAUCCAUGAAUCCGGCCUUUGUGUGGAGUUUCCUAUCCUCCACCGUUCCUUCUCUCUCUCUCUCUCUCUCUCUCUCUCUCUCUCUCUCUCUCUCUCUGUGUUCUGGGGGCAGGGUGGUGGAGCAGGGUGGCAGUCAUGGUGGUGGUGAUGGGGGGUGAAAACUUGGACGUAGGUCCUGUGCAGCUGGGGAAGAAUAGAGAAAGAGAGAGAGAGGGAUGGUGGGAUGAAUGGCUCAUUGUACUGGCCAGUGCGUAUCAGUGCUGAGAGGCUGAAGGAAAGAGUCCAGUUACUGCAAUUGUGUGAGAGAAUCUAAAGGAAACUGAUAGGGGAGAGCUGAGGGCUUAUACCAGGGAGUUUAGGGCAAAAACAGGAGAAAGAGAGAGAGAGAGAGAGAGAGAGAGAGAGAGAGAGAGAGAGAGAGAACUGCAGGUAUUUCUAAGUUAUCCUGCUGCAGGUGUCGUCAGUAAAGUUUAUAAUCAUCCUGAUCAAUAGAUACAGUUUCUGUUUCAUCCAGUUUUUACAUUCAUGUUUAUUUUAAUCCACUUUGUCCAUAUCCAGAAACCAGACACCCCGCCCCGUAUUAUCAGGACACACCCUCUUUUUCAGAUCUAAAAUAUCAGCCCCUGUCGAGAUUCCCAAAAUUCUUAAUAUGACCCACGAUUGUGUCGUCUCUGUAAAUAGACAGCCCGUACUCUAUAUUUCUGUCGGUUCCAUGCUCUGCACACUGCUGGAAGAGUUCAUGGUUCUGUGUAAAGGAACGUUUUCCUGGAAGUUUGAUAGAUGUUUGAGAUCAGAACAGAGACACACUGAAUAAAUAGCACAGGUGUAUCCUUACUAUUAGAAAAACUUACAUAGCUGUGUUUUUAACCUGGACAGGAAAAUUGGAGGGCAAAAAAGCCCCAAAAACCUCCAAUGUAUUGCUUAGAGGAUUUAUAGAAGGGCUGGUCAUGAGUUUCUGAAAAGCAUCAGAAACGUAAUACCUUAACUGGGAGAGAGAGUGUUCCGUAUGAUGCUCUCUCUACCGUAUUUGUGCUCUGAUGCUUUUGGGAAACUCUGAUUAUUUGUGUUGAUAUUAUAUCCGUAUAUUUCUGUGUAUUUCAUGUUCAGUAUCAUUUAAACACAUUUCAUGGUGAACAACGUGGUGGUCUCUGUGACAUGACGAGCACUCAAAUGCUGUUUUUAAAAAAGUAAAAAUCCCAUCAGUCGUGACUACCAGCCCUGAAUAACUGGUCUCUCAGUGUCUGCAUGCAGUGUGUCUGUAAGUGUGCUGUGAUUAAUGUGGUUAUAUUAAUACACAGGAUCGUUUUUAAUGAUAUGAUUUACAAGUCACUGGUAGAAUUCCAUAAUGGGAAAGUCUUACAUCACUGAAGUCACAUUCCCUUCAGUCCAUUUACAUUUAUUCAUGUGGCAGAUUUUCCAGUUUGAUUUAUAACUGAGAGAAGGGACAGUCCCCCGCAGUUGGGGGUUAAAGGUCGAGUUUGAGCGGCCAGCAUCAACUCUCCCAGUGUUCCACUGACUGACUCCGAGCUGUAACCACCGAGGCACCACAUUCACACACUUAAACAUUCAGGCUCGGGUUCUAGAAUCAGGUUUCAGAGAACCACAAUAAUUAAUUGUGUUGUACGGAGCUCCUAUUAUUUCAUUAUUAUGCCACAGCUGUUGAGUUCUGGAUCGUGAUUGGUCAGAAGGUGUUGAUUAAUUUUCUAUAACAGCAGCUCUGAAAGUAGCGCAGCUGCAAAAGUUUACGCUUCUCUGCGGUUUCUGGCGUAACAAGCUGCAUUUUUUAAUCUGAUUAACUUCAAGAGAGAGAAAAAAGAGAGGCUGAUGUUUAUACAGUGGUGCUUGAAAGUUUGUGAACCCUUUAGAAUUUUCUACAUUUCUGCGUAAAUGUGACCUAAAACAUCAUCGGAUUUUCACACAAGUCCUAAAAGUAGAUAAAGAGAACCCAGUUAAAUAAAUCUGACAAAAAUAUUAUACUCGGUCAUUUAUUAAUUGAGGAAAAUGAUCCACUAUUACAUAUGAACCUUGUGUGUGACCCCCUUGUGCAGUAAUAACUGCAGAUAAACGUUUGGGGUAAGUGUUGAUCAUCUGCACAUCGACUUGGAGGAGUUUUAUCCCGUUCCUCAGUACAGAACAGCUUCAGCUCUGGGAUGCUGGUGGGUUUCCUCACAUGAACUGCUUGCUACAACAUUUCCAUUGGAUUAAGGUCAGGACUUUGAUUUGGCCAUUCCAAAACAUAAACAUUAACAUUAACUUUAUUCUUCUCUGGUAGAACGACUCGUGUGAUUAGGGUCGUUGUCUCGCUGCAUGACCCACUUUCUCUUCAGAUUCAGUUCAUGGACAGAUGUUCUGAUAUUUUCCUUUAGAACUCGCUGGUAUCAUUCAGAACUCAUUGUUCCAUCAGUGAUGGUGAGUCGUCCUGGUCCAGAUGCAGCAAAACAGUCCACAACCAUGACACUACCACCAUGUUUCACAGAUGGGAUAAAGGUCCUUCUGCUGGAAUGCAGUGUUUUCCUUUCUCCAAACAUAACGCUUCUCAUUUAAACCAAAAAGUUCUAUUUUGGUCUCAUCCAUCCACAAAACAUUUUCCAUUAGACUUCUGGCUUGUUCACGUGAUCUUUAUCAAACUGCAGAAGGGCAGAAAUGUUCUUUAUGGAGAGUAGUGUGGUUCUCCUUGCAGUCCUGCCAUACACACCAUUGUUGUUCAGCGUUCUCCUGUUGGUGGACUCAUGAACAUUAACAUUAGCCAAUGUGAGAGAGGACUUUAGUUGCUUCUCUGUUGGAGAGAUCUUUGUUGGUCUCCACUCCUGUGGAGGAGAACGAUGGUGUUGAAUUUCCUCCAUUUGUACACAAUCUGUCUGACUGUGGAUUGGUGGAGUCCAAACUCUUUACAAAUGGUUUUGUGAGCUUUUCCAGCCUGAUGAGCUUCAACAACUCUUUUUCUGAGGUCCUCGAAAUCUCCUUUGUUCGUGCCAUGAUACACUUCCAC